UACGUAGGCGGCAAGCGUUGUCCGGAUUUACUAGGCGUAAAGAGCGCGCAGGCGGUCGUGCAAGUCGCGUGUGAAAGCCCCCGGCUCAACUGGGGAGGGUCACGCGAUACUGCUCGACUCGAAGGCAGGAGAGGGAAGUGGAAUUCCCGGUGUAGUGGUGAAAUGCGUAGAUAUCGGGAGGAACACCAGUGGCGAAGGCGACUUCCUGGCCUGUUCUUGACGCUGAGGCGCGAAAGCUAGGGUAGCAAACGGG
rnacentral:rRNA from 1 species